AUGGCGGGCGGGCAAGAAUCGUCAGCCGUGGCGGCCGACUUGGACCCCGUGUACGAGUGGGUCGACGGCGACGGCAGCUAUCUCCUCCGCCUCAACCUCCCAGGGUUCAAGAAGGAGGACUUCCGGGUGCACGUGGACCCCGCGGGCCGGCUCAACAUCCUCGGCCACAAAACGGCGGAUGGCGGAGCUGGGAACGUGCGGCUGCACAAGGUGUUUCAGCUGCCAUCUACAUCCGACCUCGACGCAAUCACCGGCCGGUACGACGCCAACUUGCUCACGCUCACCGUGCCCAAGCUGCCUUCCGCCCCGGCCAAGGACGUCGGCGACAAACCAACGGAUGAGAAAUCCAAGGUUAUCCGGGAGGCGGAGCGGCUGAUCGAGGCGGCGAGGGCAAGGUUGCAGCUGGGGAGGCACAGAGAGGAGACGGCCAAGGAACCCCCGGCCACGAAAGUGGACGACAGGAAACAGGAGCCCAAGGCAACAGAAAAGGUGGUGAAAGGAGAUGAUGGUCAGGACCACAAGGAGAAGCUUGAGUAUGAGACGGCGACAGAGACGGAGACGCAGAGGGAGAAGAAAGGCUGCUGGAAGGAGCGGGCGGCGGAGGAGGGGUUCAAGUGGGCAGAUACCAUAGGUAAGAACAAGGAGGUGAUCGCCGCCACCGCCGUCGCCGCCUUCACGCUAGGCGUCUUCGUCUCCCAUAGGCUCUUCUCCAGAAACUGA
rnacentral:rRNA from 1 species